UUUCCUUGCAGUCUUCACUUUUCUCUGCUUCGGGAUCAUUAACAGAAAGUUUAUUUCUUCUGGCAAAUGAUCUACUAAACAAUCUGAAAUAAUUAGGUGAACAAUUUGACAAAAAGGUGAGCACAGCACCUGGCUCACAAUGGGUGCCCCCAGAACUUCAGAACAAGUUCUAAUGCUCUAUGCAGUCUGCAUUGUAUUUAUAAUAACACC